rnacentral:rRNA from 1 species
AUUGAACGCUGGCGGCAGGCCUAACACAUGCAAGUCGAGCGGAUGAAGGGAGCUUGCUCCUGGAUUCAGCGGCGGACGGGUGAGUAAUGCCUAGGAAUCUGCCUGGUAGUGGGGGAUAACGUCCGGAAACGGGCGCUAAUACCGCAUACGUCCUGAGGGAGAAAGUGGGGGAUCUUCUGACCUCACGCUAUCAGAUGAGCCUAGGUCGGAUUAGCUAGUUGGUGGGGUAAAGGCCUACCAAGGCGACGAUCCGUAACUGGUCUGAGAGGAUGAUCAGUCACACUGGAACUGAGACACGGUCCAGACUCCUACGGGAGGCAGCAGUGGGGAAUAUUGGACAAUGGGCGAAAGCCUGAUCCAGCCAUGCCGCGUGUGUGAAGAAGGUCUUCGGAUUGUAAAGCACUUUAAGUUGGGAGGAAGGGCAGUAAGUUAAUACCUUGCUGUUUUGGCGUUACCAACAGAAUAAGCACCGGCUAACUUCGUG